UUCAUUUGCAAAUUUAACACCAUUACUUUGGGCUUGAAUAGGACCUGGGAGUUGCUGGCUCACUACAAAAGCAACUUUGCCUCUCCUGGAAUUGACACCUUCUCAUCAGUUAUUGGGAGUGGACUACAUCCACCCUGAUUGAAUUGACCCUGCCAACACUGGUUCUCCACUUGUGAGACCACAUGCAUCAGAGAGUACAUUGGCUGCUUUCCUGGAUAGAAAUCCCAGCUCCUCAAAACCCCACCUUACCUCAUUGCCUUGAUCACCUACCCACCAGAGGGCUGGGAUGGAGGAGGCUCUCUCUCCAUUCUGGCAAAGACAAGAAAUUUGGAAAAUGUGUAAAUAAUGCAACAAUCAAGAGGAGACCAAUGCUUCAAACACACAAUUGCUUAACUUCAAGCAGAGGCGCAGUCUCCUUGACUUCAGCAGGACCAACCCUGUGGUUUAAGGAAAGAUGUUGAACUUGCAGAUCAAUUGCCAGCUACUCACAUUCCACAGGUUGAACUGUAACACACUGGGGAGAACAAAAUCACAGCGAGCUCCUUGCAGGACCUCUUAAGGAUUUCAGAACAUAGA